UUUUCCUCGUCAUUUUCCUUUCCUUUCUUCUUCUGUAAUAACAGGUCCCUUCUUCCACCACUUCACUGCCUCCAUCUCCACCAAACCCACCAGAAUUUCUUCAAUAAAAAAAAAAUUACGCUCCAUAUAUUCAUCCAUUAAAUGGACAAGAGGGGUUGCUCUGAUGGUAAGCAACCUCCACUUCCAACCAAGAGGUUGUAAGUUCGAGUCACCCCAAGAGCAAGGUGGGGAGUUCUAGGAGGGAAGAUGACGAUGGUCUAUUGGAAACAGCCUCUCUAUUUCAUGGUAGAGGUAAGGUUGCGUACACACUACCCUUCCCACACCCCACUAGUAAAAUUAUAUUGGAUUAUUGUUGUUGUAUAUUCAUCCGUUAAAUCACACCCACCACCACUUUGAUUGCCACAUCGAUAUUUUUUUUUAAAAAAAGCUUAGAAAACUUCAACAAAAAAAACAGCAUAAUAGAAAUCAUCUCCGGUACAUUUUUCUCCUUCAAAACUCUUUCGUUUCUUCCUAAGAGUCAUCUCCAGUACAUUUUUCUCUUAUUUUCUUUUUCUUUUUCUUCUUCUUAUUUUUCGCCGGAAACAAUGGUGAUUCCGGUGACACUUUAAACAAUGGAGAUAUUUAAUAUAAAAAAGAAGAUGAAGAAAUAGGUGGGGAGAUUGGAUGUAACGAGAAAAAGAAGAAGCCAUAAAUAAAAAAAUUUGAAAUUAAAAAACCAAAUACAAGAACUAAUCAGCUGGGGGAAGAGAUAGCUAGGGAGUGCGGGGAUGAUGAAGGAGGCUUGGUGGCGUGGGGUGGGGGUUGGGGAUAAAGAAAAGGAAAAAAUAAUGGAGAGAAAAACUAAAUAAUAAAUGAAAAAGAUAUUAUGCGGUUUAUAAAACACAUGUCAAAAUAUGAUUGGUUCGUGUGGUAUUUAUUAUAUUUCAAAUAAAGACAUAGGACCUACAAAGUAUGAGGGUGUUAGAUGCGGAUUCAAAAUUUAAAUUUUAUGAGUUCAAUAUUUAAAGUUCUUAGUAUUGAACCCAUUAAAUUUUUUAAACUAUAGGUUCAAUCUACUAUUUAUUGUAAUUUUAGUGAAUUUUUACACAUUAAUUUAUAUUACGCGUCAAAAGAUAUGGAUUCAAUUGGACCCGUCACUAAAGUGCUACAUCCGUCCCUGGAGGGUGUAACUGGUAAAUUGGAACAACCCUAACGGGUAACUAUGUAUUAUCCUAUUACAAAUCAAACAAAACAACUUGGGAAACACAUUUAUUAGUUGAAACACAUAUAUUUUCUCUCACUAUAAUGGCAUCUUUGUAUCUCCUCAAUAUCUCCUCAAGUAAUUGUCUUCUCUCUCUAUGUUUGUGUUUCUAGCUAAGAAGAGAGAGAAAAAAGUUGAGAAUAAUAGUAAGUACUAACUGAUGUGAGGCGGAUUUUCUCAGAGAUAGGCUGUGUAGCCAUUUACCCUCGACUGCUGAAGGAAAUUUCAUUGAAGCCAGUAGAAAGAAUACAGCCAUACAGAACUUUUACGUAUAUAGAACUUUUAUGUUUUUUUAGUGUAAUUUAACUUUUAUAGAGGUUAUUUCCUUUGCUUUUUGGAUUAUCAGAUCAUAUUAGUUACAAAUAAUUAUCUAUUAUUGUGAGUAAUUUAACUUAAUGGUGUAAAACUAUUAACAUAAUUAUCAGUGUACGACAAUUAAACUUUUCUAUUUACAAGUUUCACCAAAGUUAUCUAUUCUAACCCAUGUAAUUAAGAAUAUAGUACAAUUGGAUGGUAAAAGUCACAUUUCUCCGCUCUUAAUUAACGGUCUUCAUUUCAAGUUUUAAAAUUGAAGUCUUUUAUGGGAGGAUGCUUUACAACCUGUAAUAGGCCUUCUCCGCAUGAGUCCAAAUUAGUCGAGC
rnacentral:lncRNA from 1 species